CGGCCUUAUAGCGUUGAAAUAUCGCUUCUUAUACGAUCACCGAAGUUAAGCAACGCUGCGUCUGGUUAGUACUUAGAUAGGCGACCGCUUGGGAACAGCA